rnacentral:tRNA from 1 species
GCCGCCAGUGGCACGUGCGGGAGAAGCCGCUGCCGUUGGAGGCAGGAGGUGAACUGCCCGGUGUGCGGCUCGCGUUCGAAACCUGGGGGCGGCC